AGAGUUUGAUCCUGGCUCAGGACGAACGCUGGCGGCGCGCUUAACACAUGCAAGUCGUGCGGUACCGAUGGCAAGUCUUCAUGACGAGCCUUCGGUAUAGCGGCGGACGGGUGAGUAACACGUGAGUAGCUGUCCUAGGGAGGGGGAUAACGCCUGGAAACGGGUGCUAAAACCCCAUAAGCCUCGCAAGAGGUGAAAGUGUACUUGUUACAGCCUUAGGGUGUGCUCGCGGCCUAUCAGCUAGUUGGUGAGGUAAGGGCUCACCAAGGCUAAGACGGGUAGCCGGCCUGAGAGGGUGUACGGCCACACUGGAAUUGAGAUACGGUCCAGACUCCUACGGGAGGCAGCAGUGGGGAAUUUUGGGCAAUGGGCGAAAGCCUGACCCAGCGACGCCGCGUUGGGGAUGAAGUCCUUCGGGGCGUAAACCCAUGUUGUAGGGGAAGAAGAAAGUGACGGUACCCUACGAGAAAGCCCCGGCCAACUACGUGCCAGCAGCCGCGGUAACACGGGGGUUGCGAGCGUUGUCCGGAAUUACUAGGCGUAAAGGGCAGUCAGGCGGAUCUGCGAGUUUUUUGUUAAAGGCUACGGCUCAACCGUAGUAAGGCAGGAGAUACUGUAGAUCUGGAAUUUGGUAGAGGAAGACAGAAUUCCUGGUGUAGCGGUGGAAUGCGCAGAGAUCAGGAGGAAUACCUAAGGCGAAGGCAGUCUUCUAAGCCGUAAUUGACGCUAAACUGCGAAGGUGUGGGUAUCAAACAGGAUUAGAUACCCUGGUAGUCCACACAGUAAACGAUAAUCACUGGGUGUCGGGUUCGUAGAGGAUUCGGUGCCGUAGCUAACGUGAUAAGUGAUUCGCCUGGGGAGUACGAUCGCAAGGUUGAAACUCAAAUGAAUUGACGG
rnacentral:rRNA from 1 species